rnacentral:lncRNA from 1 species
CCGGAAUCACCGCUUUAAAAACUCAUAUGCAGAAGGGUACAUAGCAUAUAAUCAUUGUACGUAGAUCUCGAUCAUACUUGAUCGAACCGAUCUUUAAUUAUUCAUCAUAACACUUGUCUAUCCGAUUAAGCAGAAAUAUAAGAUAUAUAAGUUAUUCAAAUAGCACCUGGAGUUCUGUUUCCAGCUGCCACCGUAUCCUGGACCGUCAUGUUGUAAACCCUCGGAG